AGCGAACGCUGGCGGCAGGCUUAACACAUGCAAGUCGAGCGGGCGUAGCAAUACGUCAGCGGCAGACGGGUGAGUAACGCGUGGGAACGUACCUUUUGGUUCGGAACAACACAGGGAAACUUGUGCUAAUACCGGAUAAGCCCUUACGGGAAGGAUUAUCGCCGAAAGAUCGGCCCGCGUCUGAUUAGCUAGUUGGUGAGGUAACGGCUCACCAAGGCGACGAUCAGUAGCUGGUCUGAGAGGAUGAUCAGCCACAUUGGGACUGAGACACGGCCCAAACUCCUACGGGAGGCAGCAGUGGGGAGUAUUGGACAAUGGGCGCAAGCCUGA
rnacentral:rRNA from 1 species